rnacentral:rRNA from 1 species
GACAGAGGGUGCAAACGUUGUUCGGAUUUACUGGGCGUAAAGGGCGCGUAGGCGGCCACCGCAAGUCGAUUGUGAAAUCUCCGGGCUUAACCCGGAAAGGUCAACCGAUACUGCGGGGCUAGAGUGCAGAAGGGGCAACUGGAAUUCUCGGUGUAGCGGUGAAAUGCGUAGAUAUCGAGAGGAACACCUGCGGCGAAGGCGGGUUGCUGGGCUGACACUGACGCUGAUGCGCGAAAGCUAGGGGAGCGAACGGG